rnacentral:rRNA from 1 species
CCUACGGGAGGCAGCAGUGGGGAAUAUUGCACAAUGGGGGAAACCCUGAUGUAGCGACGUCGCGUGAGUGAAGAAGUAACUCGUUAUGUAAAGCCCUAUCAGCAGGGAAGAAACUGACGGUACUUGAGUAAGACGCCCCGGCUAAAUACGUGCCAGCAGCCGCGGUAAUACGUAGGGGGCCAGCGUUAUCCGGAUUUACUGGGUGUAAAGGGAGCGGAGACGGCAGUGCAAGUCUGGAGGGAAAGGCGGGGGCUCAACCCCCGGACUGCUCUGGAAACUGGACGGCUGGAGUGCAGGAGAGGUAAGUGGAAUUCCUGGUGUAGCGGUGAAAUGCGUAGAUAUUAGGAGGAACACCAGUGGCGAAGGCGGCUUACUGGACUGUAACUGACGUUGAGGCUCGAAGGCGUGGGGAUCAAACAGGAUUAGAUACCCCAGUAGUC